GAUGAACGCUGGCGGCGUGCCUAAUACAUGCAAGUCGAGCGAACGGACGGGAAGCUUGCUUCUCUGAUGUUAGCGGCGGACGGGUGAGUAACACGUGGAUAACCUACCUAUAAGACUGGGAUAACUUCGGGAAACCGGAGCUAAUACCGGAUAAUAUUUUGAACCGCAUGGUUCAAAAGUGAAAGACGGUCUUGCUGUCACUUAUAGAUGGAUCCGCGCUGCAUUAGCUAGUUGGUAAGGUAACGGCUUACCAAGGCAACGAUGCAUAGCCGACCUGAGAGGGUGAUCGGCCACACUGGAACUGAGACACGGUCCAGACUCCUACGGGAGGCAGCAGUAGGGAAUCUUCCGCAAUGGGCGAAAGCCUGACGGAGCAACGCCGCGUGAGUGAUGAGGGUCUUCGGAUCGUAAAACUCUGUUAUUAGGGAAGAACAUAUGUGUAAGUAACUGUGCACAUCUUGACGGUACCUAAUCAGAAAGCCACGGCUAACUACGUG
rnacentral:rRNA from 1 species